CAUAAUCUAGGGAUUCUCUUCAGUUACAAUUUUUUUUCACAAAACCAGCAUUUGCCCUGAUUUCAAUCCCUUUGAUUCAGGGUAAUCAAUUUCAUACGUUACAUUUUUAUUUAUAUUUUUUGAUGCAAAUUUCAUACGUUACACUAGAACCGCAAUUUGCCCCUUGAAUGAUGCCCUACGUAAUCCCCAAGAAAGCUUAUUAUCUUCACCGGAUUCUUCAUUUCUUACGCCUACUCCGAUAUAUUUGACUACUCGAUUUAUCAAGAUGUCUAAUCCCAGCAUUAAUUGGAUUCUCUCUAUAAAAUGUCUAAUCCAAUUCGAGACAGCGUCCGUUCUACCAGUUGAUUCAUUAGUUAUCAAAAGAACAGAUGAAUUGCAAACCCCAGAAGGUAGCAUCCUUACCGGAUGAAAAGAAUCCUUUCUACUUUUUUCUAUACAUGAGAACAUUUGAUCAUCCCAAGAAAGGAAUGGAUAGAGAGAAUCUCAUGAUAAUGGUUAUAUAUGGCAGUGUGGCACGAAGCACAGGUGAGCUGCUAGGGAUGUUACCUGGGCCUGCUAUAUAUGUGAAUUGUGCGGCAGGAAUUCGAGGAAUCUGCACAUGUUGGAAUUUGCAAGUGAUGACAGUAGUACCCCAGUUAGACGCUCAAACUGUGUUAACUUGAACCGCAAAGAAUCCAUGAAAUUGGGGUCGGUUGCCGUAGCCAGGAGCGAUGGACGAACUUAAAAUUUUCAGUAGCAAACAGGAUGAAACGUCAAUAAUCCCAGUUCAGCAAUGACGUUGUUGGGAGUAUGUACUAGCAUCAUUUUGUGCAGAAGAGAAGGUUAUGAAACUGUAUUAUAGGAAUUGUGAAGUCCUUUGAAGCUUAUUACAAUCUAUCAAGGUUAGACUGUCGGUUUAGCUACAACCAACUGACAUAGUGAAAGAGGAGCGUUCUCAUGGGCAUAGGUGAAUUUUGAAUAAUGGUAAUACUUACUAUGUGGAGUAGAUGUGUUUGGGUGGAUUUGAGUUGUGAGUUAUACAACAUUAAGAGUUUCCAUGAAUUACACUUUGUAGCCAGAGGGUUCCAUGAUUUGGGAAUUUGCUGUGGCUUAUCUAUUAUACAGAAGUAAAAGGUGGCAUGUGAUCUGGAUUCAGGAAUUUAUGCGGGUGUUGGAUUAGGCAUUUCUCUCUUUGCUCCACAAAACUGCUUUUCAGAGCAUUGGAAAACUUCAUGGAAGCAAGACAAGUUUCGUCCUACAUUUAAAGCACUGGCACAAAUGUAGAUGCAAGCAUUAGAAGGAAACAAAUAAUGAAUCUAUGUCAACGUACUAAUUAUGUCUUGCUCCAUAAUAUUUCAGUGAAUAUUUUAUAAAUGACGAAUAAACAGUAAUUCCAUUUUAGAGUGAA